AUGGAGCUAAACGGAGCCACCCUCUCGCUCCUUUCUCUCAUCUCACUGGUGAUUCUAGUUUCCAUGCUUAGCCGCAAGUUAGCACCACGUUCAAAGAAGCAGCAGCCUCCUGGCCCAUGCUGUCUGCCCUUGAUCGGAAACGUCCAUCACAUCCUCACGUCGAAACUGCCGGUCGUCCUCCGGGACCUGGCCAAGAAGCACGGGCCCGUGAUGUACCUAAGGCUGGGCCAGGUUGACGCCGUCGUGGUCUCCUCACGGUCGGCGGCAGAGGAGGUACUCCGGGAAAAGGACAUCUGCAUGGCGUCCCGGCCGAUCCUUAUGGUCUCCGAGAUCUUACUCUACGGGAACCUCGACAUAACCUUCUCGCCGUAUGGCGCAUACUGGCGGACGCUGCGCAAGAUCUGCACAGUGGAGCUCCUCAGCGAGAGGAAGGUGAGGCAGUUUUCGCCGGUGAGGGACAACGAGACCAUGUCCCUCGUUAAGAACGUUCGCGUGGCCGGCCGAGGUGGCAACCUGUUCAACCUUGGCAGGCUACUUGUGUCGUGCUCCAACUCGAUAACUGGGAAGACGGCGUUCGGGGAGAUGUGCAGCUCUGAGCUCCAGGAGGAGUUCCUGUCGGCCAUGGAUGUGGGGCUGAAACUUGGCGCCGGGCUCUGCGUCGGGGACCUCUUCCCAUCUCUGUGGUUCGUCGAUGUGGUCACCGGCCUGAGGAGCCGGCUAUGGCGAACCCGCCGGCAGCUGGACCAUGUCCUGGACAAGAUCAUCUCUCAAUCUGAAAUGCGGCGAGGUGAUGACCUUGUGAGCGUUUUGCUUAGGAUCAGGGACGAAGGGGGACUGGACUUCCCGUUGGAACAAGAUAGCAUCAAGGCAAUCAUAAUGGAUAUAUUCACCGCCGGGACGGAGACGACAUCAUCAGCUGCAGAGUGGGUCAUGUCGGAGCUCAUGAGGAACCCGGAGGUGAUGAUCAAAGCGCAGGCUGAGGUGCGACGAACAUUCAACGCCAAGAGCCCACAAGACCAUGAUGGACAAGUGGCGGAGCUACACUACACAAAGAUGGUAAUUAAGGAGAGCAUGCGGCUAAACCCUGUGGUGCCCCUGCUGGUUCCCCAUGUCUGCCGAGAGGCCUGCGUCGUCGGCGGGUUUGAUGUCACCGAAGGUACCAGGGUUAUGGUAAAUACCUGGGCAUUGGGCAGGAACCCCGAGUACUGGCAUGAGCCUGAGAAAUUCAGGCCAGAGAGGUUCGAGGAUGGCACGACGACCUACAAAGGCUCGCGGUUCGACUACUUACCGUUCGGUAGUGGGAGGAGGAACUGCCCCGGAGAUACCUUUGGGUUGGCAGUGUUGGAGCUCGUGGUGGCACGACUUCUCUACUACUUUGACUGGAGUCUCCCUGCCGGAGUGAACCCGACUGAGAUGGACAUGGAAAUGAUUGUUUCCGCAACCUUAAGAAGAAAGAACCAGCUGCACCUAGUGAUGACACCGUAUAAGGCAUGCACUUGUUGA
rnacentral:rRNA from 1 species